rnacentral:rRNA from 1 species
UACGAAGGGGGCUAGCGUUGCCCGGAAUUACUGGGCGUAAAGCGCACGUAGGCGGCUUUCUAAGUCGGAGGUGAAAUCCUGGAGCUCAACUCCAGAACUGCCUUCGAUACUGGAGAGCUUGAGUCCGGGAGAGGUGAGUGGAACUGCGAGUGUAGAGGUGAAAUUCGUAGAUAUUCGCAAGAACACCAGUGGCGAAGGCGGCUCACUGGCUCGGUACUGACGCUGAGGUGCGAAAGCGUGGGGAGCAAACAGG